rnacentral:rRNA from 1 species
GUGGGGAAUAUUGGACAAUGGGCGCAAGCCUGAUCCAGCCAUGCCGCGUGUGUGAAGAAGGCCUUUUGGUUGUAAAGCACUUUAAGCGAGGAGGAGGCUCCUUUAGUUAAUACCUAAAGAGAGUGGACGUUACUCGCAGAAUAAGCACCGGCUAACUCUGUGCCAGCAGCCGCGGUAAUACAGAGGGUGCGAGCGUUAAUCGGAUUUACUGGGCGUAAAGCGUGCGUAGGCGGCUUUUUAAGUCGGAUGUGAAAUCCCUGAGCUUAACUUAGGAAUUGCAUUCGAUACUGGAAAGCUAGAGUAUGGGAGAGGAUGGUAGAAUUCCAGGUGUAGCGGUGAAAUGCGUAGAGAUCUGGAGGAAUACCGAUGGCGAAGGCAGCCAUCUGGCCUAAUACUGACGCUGAGGUACGAAAGCAUGGGGAGCAAACAGGAUUAGAUACCCUAGUAGUCC